rnacentral:misc_RNA from 1 species
UAUCAAAAGAUAUCAAAUAACAUUAAGCGACCGCACGAAUAUCAUUUUUCACAAUACAUCGAAUCAGCAAAAAGAGUAACUCCGAAGUCUAAUAGACGAGGGGGUCACGAGGUCGUAUAAGUUCACACGAGGCAUCAAGAACCAGCUUGACGUAUAACACAAAAAAUAUUUAUCAUUCCAUUUUAAACUUCCAUCCUCUUCACAUACCAGGCUAAUUUAUUUCUUCAGCAUUAAAAUAAUAUCUCGAGUUUAAGCCAAGACCGCCGAUAAAACAACAACUAAUUUCACAUAAGUAACAGUGUUACUUUCGUUUACGAGUCAGGUUAUUGCUGUUACGUCAAGUUAGCUCUGAAUUUAAAGAAGCAGCUAACUGCGACCAGGUGUGUUAUGAAUUAGACGGCGUAAUAAAUUCUCCACCUACGUACUGCUAAAAAAUUUCAAGUUAAACUUUUAAAACUAUCGACACGGCUCCAAAACAACACAACACAUUAACAUGCAAGUCACUGCGCAUCCGAAUGGAAGUCAAAUGAAAUAACAUAAACUCAAGUGCAAGAAUAUCGUCAUCGUUUGUCGUGGGAGUAUCUACAUACACUAUUUACUAUAUCUCCUGCUAGCAAAACUUCCUGAAUAUAGGCGUUAAUUUUAUAUUACCUUCACACUAUUUUUUAAUCUAAAAAAUAAAAACACAAAUAAAAUAAUAAAGAAGCAAACACAAGUCGUUAAUUAGAAAAACACUAAAAAUGUUUUUUAAAAAUAAAAUUUAAUAAAUUUCCGUCGUUAAAAAUAAAGAAGAAAUAAAAGAGCUGAUGGAUGAGUAUUAAUCAACUAAUGGGAUGAAAUUUAGAAUGUUAUUGCAAUUAAGUUAGUGUUAUCGAUAAAACAGUUAAGUUGUAAAUACACACGACUAG